rnacentral:lncRNA from 1 species
UCCAAUUGCACGUUUUAGGGCCUCAAAGGCCCUUUUUAUGGAUUUAUUGGAUGAAUGUGAGCGAAUUAAUUUUUUAAAAAAAUUAUGCCCCAAACAAGUAAGAUAAGUCUAGUAAUGCCUCGUGCUCGACUCCAGCGACGGUCUCGAGUAAGGGGUGUUACAAUUUAUCCCAAACCAACACAAAACACAAGUCUAGUUCCCUAUACAUGCCAUAUUCAAAAAUUUAAAUCAAACUAUACCGAAUGCUUCGAUUGAUAGUGUGAUCGAUAUCUCUAACUUCCGUUGAUCCUUGAGCUAGAUAGGUAGCACUAUAAGAAAAAGGAAAGGAAAGGGAGUAAGUAUAAAACUUAGUAAGUUGCAUAUAAAUAAUUAUACAAUACUUUGCCAUUCAUCAACAAGUAUCAUAAUACACAAGUAGGCAUAAUCAAAACUUACUCAUCAAUAUUCAGUACACAUCAUAUAGCAUAUAAUGUGGCUCACAUUUUAUACAUGCCAAAUAGGUACCUAUAUCACUCACAACACGGUUAUACUUUCCACAUUAGUUAGAAAUCAGAACUUUCACUGUUGAACCGUUUAGAAUGCUAUCGAAUAUUCCAUAGCCUCAAACGUGGGGUAAGGCACCGAUGCCAUGUCCCAAACAUAGUCUUACACUGGUUUAUGUCUCGAGGCCGAUGCAUGUCCUAAACAUGUCUUACACUAGCACUUGUCAUGAUGCCGAUGCCAUGUCCCAUACAUGGUCUUACAUUGGCUCUCAUAAUGUGGCCGAUGCACGUCCCAGACAUGUCUUACACUAGCUCACAAUAACCCAUAUGUCAUGACAUGAAUAUCCGAUUUAUUUCCUAAGUUCAAACGGGAACUCUACUAUCUCUAUUCUCAUCACAUUUUCGCAUUUCCACAAGUCAAGUAAUUUAUGCUAUAAUAAUUUUGAUAUAAUUUAAACACAUAUAUUAUCAAUGUAGUUUUAUUAUUUACAUACAACUUACCUCGGAUUACAAAAUGUGGCAACUAGUCGAUUUAGUCAAUUUGCUUAGCUUUCCCUUGGUCUAGGUUCGGAUUCGGUAUUUCUUGAUCUAUAAUAGAAAAAUACACUUAUUUAAUCACUAAAUAAAAUUAGGCAAUUGAAAAUUCACUUCUUUGGUAAAAUGACCAUUUUGCCCCUAAACCUUGACAAAAUGACCAUUUUACCCCUAGACUUGAAAUUUGAUUUUUAUCGAAUUUCUUUGCAUCUUAAGCCUAACCGAACCCUUUUUACUCUUAUAGCAACUCCAAAUUCCCACUAUAUUAUACAUUUAUCAUCUACUUUACAACUUAUGCAAACUAGUCCUUUUUAAGUAUCUUCAUGAAAAUCCUUUCAUAAAAGUUGUUUAUCACACCACUAAGCUUCAUAUUCUUUCAUAAAAUUUCAAAAAAUACCCUAGGUGCUCUCAUGGAAAAACCCUACACUUUCAACCAUUUUGCAAAACAGUACCUUCAUUUGAAAGCUCAUGCUUCUAGGGGUCUAGAAAUGUAAAAAUCUUCAACAAAGGGUAUGAAAAUAACUUACUUCUAGAGAUGAUAAGUUGCUGCAAAUUUCAAGCUUCAAAACCCUCAAAUGGCUGGUAAAAAUCGAUGAAGAAGAAAAAUAAAGAGGAUGUGGCCUUUGUUUUAUUUUAAAUAUUAAAACUAGUCAAAAUUGGUGAACAAAACUCACCUAAUUUUGACUUUCUCAUGAAUUUGUCUCCUAUGGCUGACCAAGCUAUCUCUAUAGGGUCUAAUUGUCUUUUAAAUACCUCCAAUUUAGGUUCUCUAGCUAUUUGACACUUUUAGCUAUCAACUUAGGACUUUUGCAUUUUAUGCAAUUUAGUCUUUUUUCGCAAUUGGGCUCACAAACGUCAAAAUUAACUCACCAAAAUUUUCAUACACUAAUAUGAACAUGCCAUACUCCAAAAUAAUGAUAAAAUACUUUAUUCAAAUCCAGAUUUGUGGUCCCGAGAUCAAUAUUCCGGCUAGGCCCUAAAUCGGGCUGUUACAUAGAUGGAGCAUCUUACUUGUUGUAGGUAAACUAGAAUUCCCAACACAUGAUAUUUUUGUAGGAGUCUCAUCACCUAUAAAGAGAGGAGAUGUACCUGAGUAUGGGAUGGACUCGUAUAAAGUGGUAGCCUACCAACAUACAUGAUGUGUAUCCCCAAAGUCAGGACACCAAGAUGUGGUCCCUACAAGCAUAGGAAUAUACGAGUUUUCAUUAUCAAAAUUUAACCCAUAUUAAGUAGUAUUGGAAUUGGACCUAGAGGUGGUCAAAUAAUAAGAUGCAUGACAAUUAGGGAAAUGAGGCAACACAACGCAUGGCGAGGCAUCAACGUCAUGAACACACACUUUCAUUUAGUGCACCAUGGCACAUUGGACCCAUGAUUUUGUGCCAAAAAAUUACUAGCAUUUUCAAGCCCAACAAAAUUGGCAUUCGGCCUAGAAGAUUGGCCAAGAAUCAGAUCCAUAGGUGCCAGCCUACUAUAUAGUCCAACACCAUGAGAUGAGGUGGGCGGUUUAUGAGCACCAACAAGCCCAAGAGAGGAAGGCCAAUAAUGUAGACCCAUGGCAGAUGGCAUAUUUGCGCCAAAAUACGGGCUUGCUCCGGCAUUCGACCUAACAGAUUGUCCCCCUUGACCUGCAAUAAUAUCAUAACCAUUAAAAAAACUAGGAACCCUAGCAGAUGGCUGAUUUACCAUAGCAAAAUUUGGCAGCCUCCUAUCCCAAAUAGAUGCGAACGGAUGCACCAUCGACAGACUCGAGAUAGUCCUGGACCACCACCCGUUGACGAAUACCAGCUAGGUGCGCCAACCACAUUGUCACACGAUCCGUAGCCACCUAUCCAAAUGGGGUCGGCGUCAUGGUCGAAGUGGACAAGCCAUCAUAAUCACGAUCAAAUCGAUAAUAGCACUUUUGCAUCACAUGUCCAUCAGAUCUGACAUUGAAGCCGAGGUCGGAACCCUCGCCCACGACCAGAAGAUAAUGGACAACCACCACACAUGGGCUCUACCACCGGUGUCAAUGAGGCAACCUCCACCAGAUGCGUGUGGAAGGAUGCAUUGGUUGCCGCACGAGCCUGGCGGCUCUCAAGUUCCAUAAGUACAUCGACAAGCUUAUGUAAAAAAAUAGAAUCAGACGAAAAAGAAGCCACAGUAAGAACCAUGUCAAACUCCGAUGAGAGUCUAGCAAGAAUAAUUUUGACAUUCUCUACUUCUGGAACUACUGAUCCGGAUGCUUCAAGCAAGGUGCAAGUAUUUUGUAUCUUCGCCAUAUACUCUUUAAUGGACAGCAUCCUUUUUUUGAUAGAGUGUAACUCAUGUGUGAUACGUGACACCUUGGCUCUAAUAACAGCGGCAAAGAGACGAUUCUUUGUACUCCAAAUGUCACACCUCAAUUUUGCUACUGUAAAAUAAGAUAAUAAAGAAGGACUAAUUGUAGAAAUGAGCCAAGAAAUAAAAAGUUUAUCUUGCUAAACAAACAAAGACGCAUCAGGAUUUGGAUUUAGAAUUCCAUCUGGAGAAGAAAUGAAUUGCGGAGGAAUAGGUAAUGUCCCUUUUAAAUACCCUAAUAGUUCAUAACCUUCGAUUAUUAAACAAACACGCUAUUGCCAUUGCACAAAGUUCCAUGGUCAGCAGUGGAAUUGGUGAAAUUGUCCAUGGAUCAGCAGCAGAACGACCUCCAUAACUCAGGCGACUGAUACCAUAUUAGUAACUCAAUAAAAUUGAAAAGAUUGAAAAAAAAUGACUCAAAUAGUUUUGUAUUCAUAAUUUGUUUGUAUCAGUACAGAGGUGAGGUUUAUAUACAUGAGGAAGAUAGGCUAACUUUUGCUAACUAACCCAUAACAAUAUACCAAUCUUGAUACCUAACUAACAACCUGCCUAACACAUUCACAUAUCUAACAGAGUCAAAUGUAUAGGCCAAAGAAAAAAUGGAGAAUGAGAUUUAGAAGUAUGGGGAAGUUCAAUAUUGCUUUGUUAGCUAAGCAAGGUUGGAGGCUUAUAAACUAUCCAGAUUCAUUAUUAUCUCAUGUUCUUAAAGCGAAGUAUUUUUCAAGGUUAGAUUUUAUUGAUGUACGUUCAGAUAAUUUACCAUCUUAUACUUGGAAAAGCAUUUGGGCUGCGAAUGGUGUAUUACAAGAAGGAUUAUGUUGGAGGGUGGGUUCAGGUCUUAAAAUUUCAAUUAAUGAUGAUGCUUAGGUUCUUGGGGCUGCUAAUUAUAGAUUAGUCAAUUAUGAUAAUAGCAUGCAAAAUUCUAUGAUUGUUGAUCUGAUUGAUGCUAAUCAAAUAAUAUAGAAAGAAGAAUUAAUCUUUAAUACCUUUGUGAUGGUGGACACUUUUAGAAUCCUUCAAAUUUUGCUGGCACAUGAGGCACAUGACGAUCUGAUGGUGUGGAGUGGUGAGCCAUCUGGGGAGUUUUCGGUAUAUAGCACUUAUAAACUAUUAUAGAACUUUCCCAUGGUUCCUACUGUUUAUGCUUUACAGACCAGUACUAAGGAAUUUUAUAAACAGCUAUGGGGCCUAAACCUUCCAGGGAAAAUUAAGAUUACAAUAUGGAGGAUCUCUUGGAAUAUCUACCUACUUUUGUUAACAUGAAACAUAAGAAGCUCAUUAAUAAGUAUGCUGUCCCCGGUGUGGUGUAGAGGCCGAAACAGUAUACCACGUGUUUCAUGCAUAACCUGUGUCCAUAGAAGUAUGGUCAGAAUUACAGUUAACUCGUAUUUUAGGCUCAGCAGAUAUGGGUUUUAAUUAGUGGCUAACUUGGGUUUUUGGUGGAUGCUCGGCCACUCAAAAGCGUAUUUUCUAUUGUGUGCUUUGGGCUAUCUAGGGCGAUAGAAAUACCAGGGUACAUGAAUGGAAAAUUAAAACAAGUAAGGAGAUUGCUAGUUUUAUCGAAAACUAUCUUAUUGAGAUAACAUAAACAGAGAAAUGGACUUAUCCAAGAGCAAAUACGGUGGGGGGAAUGGGGCAAACCUUCUGGAUCUACCGUGAAGAUUAACUUUGAUGGAGCUUAAAACGGUCGAAACUUUCGGUCGGCCUCAGGAGUUGUCGCAAGGAAUGCUAAGGGGCAAGUUCUAUUAUCUCGCUCAAAGACCCAUAGUAGAGUAUUGUAUGCUUUCACCGCCAAAGCCAUUGCAUGCCAUCAGGCGUUGGAAAUGGGCAUAGAAAUAGGUUGGGAAGAGGUUAUUUUGGAAGGGAAUUCAUUAACUACAAUGAAGAAAUGUAAGUCAAAAUAUCGAGAUAAAUUGGUUAUAGGGGUAUACAUUCACAAUAUAAAGUAGUUAAAAGGCAGUUUUCGGAGUAUCAGUUUCAAAUAUACCAUAUAAGCGGCGAAUGGAUUAUCACAUACCAUUGCAAUAGAAACGUUAAAGAGAAGUGAAUCGAUUUAUCUAGUGGGCAGAGUUCUUGCAUAUGCAAAGCGAGCAUUAGAAGUGAAAUGGGAAAAGGAACAGGACUGAGGCAAGAGUUAAAGUGUAUGAGACAAGGGGAUAAGGAUGAACUUUGGUGAAAAUAGGGUUUCAGAUUAGUUUCCUCUCUAAGUUCUAGAAUCAUUGGGGAAAGGGAAAUGAUUAUUUGUUGGGACGGGUGAAAGGAAUAGAUUUGAUUGGGUAUUAUGGUCGAUGACUUUUAUUUUCUAGAUUUUCCUUUUUGUUCAUGUAUUUGGUUUUUGGUUUGGGCCGGUAUAUCUGGGUCGAGUUUUCUGGUUUUGCAUUUUCUAUUUUUCCAUUUGUAGGAUUUAUAUUUUGUUGUUUGGUUUUAGUGAUAAUAUAAGGCCAAUAUGAUUAUUAUUAAAAAAAAUACAUUAAUUAUUUGGA